CAAGGCGAAACUUUAAGAAACACUUUAUCUUCCACCUGAUAUUCAAUGUCUUUUCGUUUCAAAUCCGCAUACGAUUCAUGACGAUCUGUGGCUGCCUUCAGACUUUCACGGAUUACUUUUACUUUCUGUUCAGCAUCUUUAAUCAAAUCAACUCCGAAAAUUUUACUUUCACCGAGCUCGGUCCAAAACAAUGGUGUACGGCAUUUACGACCGUACAAAGCCUCGUAAGGUGCCAUCU
rnacentral:lncRNA from 1 species